CAAAUACUCCCUCCGUCCAGAAAUACUUGUCAUCAAAAUGGAUAAAAGGAAAUGUAUCUAGACGUAUUUUAGUUUUAGAUACAUCUAUUUUUAUCCAUUCUGAUGACAAGUAUUUUUGGACGGAGGGAGUAGAAA
rfam:Triticum aestivum genome assembly, contig: Triticum_aestivum_CS42_TGACv1_scaffold_592037_7BS